rnacentral:rRNA from 1 species
GUGCAGCCUAAAGUGGGUGAUAAACUUCAUCUAAGGCUAAAUAUCGACUCGAUUGCGAUAGCGAACAAGUACCGUGAGGGAAAGUUGCAAAGGACUUUGAAGAGAGAGUUCAAGAGAACGUGAAAUCGCUGGAGUGGAACCGGAGACAGUUGAUGUUGCUUGGAGACAAGUUUGGUGACGCGUCGCUUAGUUGUGAUCGUUGCCGGAUGUCGUUUCCUAUGCUACGCCGACGGCGUUGGUCGCUCGUUCUGGCCCGAUAAUGUUGCCCAGCUCGCAAGAGUCGGUGUCUUGUUGUCGGUCGUCGGUUCGUGGUGGCUAGCGUUUAGUUACGCUAGUGUGUGUGACGUCGGUGUGAAAGUCAACGACGUUUCCGACCCGUCUUGAAACACGGAUUGCGGAGUGCUUGUCUACUGCGAGUCAAAGGGUGUUAAAACCUUGCGGCGAAAUGAAAGUGAAGGUCAGUCUCGAAUUGGCCGACGUGGGAUCUGUGCUCUUCGGAGUGCUGCGCACCACGGCCCUAUGCGUGUCACUUGUGACUGUGUAGAGGUUGAGCAGUUGGCAAACGACCCGAAAGAUGGUGAACUAUGCCUGAGCAGGAUGAAGCCAGAGGAAACUCUGGUGGAAGUCCGUAUCGGUUCUGACGUGCAAAUCGAUCGAUAGACUUGGGUAUAGGGGCGAAAGACUAAUCGAACCAUCUAGUAGCUGGUUCCUUCCGAAGUUUCCCUCAGGAUAGCUGGAUCUCUGGCAGUUAUAUUCGGUAAAGCUAAUGAUUAGAGGCCUUGGGGGCGUAAUGCCCUCAACCUAUUCUCAAACUUUCAAUGGAUAUGAAGUUGCAGUUUCUUCAGUGAACUGACAACGUGAAUGCGAGGUCCAAGUGGGCCAUUUUUGGUAAGCAGAACUGGCGCUGUGGGAUGAACCAAACGUGGAGUUAAGGUGCCUAACUUCUCGCUCAUGAGACCCCAUAAAAGGUGUUGGUUGAUAUUGACAGCA